rnacentral:lncRNA from 1 species
UCCGUAUGCGCGAUUCCUGUGCGCGAAGUUCGGGUCCGUAGUGGGCUAAGGGGGAGGGUUUCAAAGGGAGCGCACUUCCGCUGCCCUUUCUUUCGCCAGCCUUACGGGCCCGAACCCUCGUGUGAAGGGUGCAGUACCUAAGCCGGAGCGGGGUAGAGGCGGGCCGGCACCCCCUUCUGACCUCCAGUGCCGCCGGCCUCAAGAUCAGACAUGGCCCAGAACUUGAAGGACUUGGCGGGACGGCUGCCCGCCGGGCCCCGGGGCAUGGGCACGGCCCUGAAGCUGUUGCUGGGGGCCGGCGCCGUGGCCUACGGUGUGCGCGAAUCUGUGUUCACCGCCUCAUCAAGGGUAAGAAAUGAGCCUAGUCACCAAGAACUCCACCCCCAGAGGAAGUGGAUCUGCUUCUCCAGUUUUUGAGGAGCCAGCCAGGGGUCCAGCACAGCCCUACCCCGCCCCAGUAUCAUGCGAUGGUCCCCCACACCGGUUCCCUGAACCCCUCUUGGAUUAAGGAAGACUGAAGACUAGCCCCUUUUCUGGGGAAUUACUUUCCUCCUCCCUGUGUUAACUGGGGCUGUUGGGGACAGUGCGUGAUUUCUCAGUGAUUUCCUACAGUGUUGUUCCCUCCCUCAAGGCUGGGAGGAGAUAAACACCAACCCAGGAAUUCUCAAUAAAUUUUUAUUACUUAACCUG